rnacentral:misc_RNA from 1 species
UUAACUAUUAUAUAGUACUCGGACGACAUUAAUAUUCAGAGUUUAGGGUCCUCUGACAGGCACUUACCGACCGAAGCCAGUAGCCGAGGCGGCCCGCCAAAGCAACAAAGGUAUAGUUAUUCAAGGGUGGGAGAUCUACCCGUAAGGGCAUGAACUCUGUAAUGAUCCUUCCGCAGGUUCACCUACGGAAA